GACGAACGCUGGCGGCGUGCUUAACACAUGCAAGUCGAACGGAAAGGCCCUGCUUUUGUGGGGUGCUCGAGUGGCGAACGGGUGAGUAACACGUGAGUAACCUGCCCUUGACUUUGGGAUAACUUCAGGAAACUGGGGCUAAUACCGGAUCGGAGCUCCUGCUGCAUGGUGGGGGUUGGAAAGUUUCGGCGGUUGGGGAUGGACUCGCGGCUUAUCAGCUUGUUGGUGGGGUAGUGGCUUACCAAGGCUUUGACGGGUAGCCGGCCUGAGAGGGUGACCGGCCACAUUGGGACUGAGAUACGGCCCAGACUCCUACGGGAGGCAGCAGUGGGGAAUAUUGCACAAUGGGCGGAAGCCUGAGGCAGCAACGCCGCGUGCGGGAUGACGGCCUUCGGGUUGUAAACCGCUUUCGCCUGUGACGAAGCGUGAGUGACGGUAAUGGGUAAAGAAGCACCGGCUAACUACGUG
rnacentral:rRNA from 1 species